AGCUAAAUGCAUUAAGAUGCUCUUUUGACGUGAAAAGUCAAUGUGCAUAGAUUUAGCACUUAAUUAGC
rnacentral:tRNA from 1 species